GAUGAACGCUAGCUACAGGCUUAACACAUGCAAGUCGAGGGACCGGCGCACGGGUGAGUAACACGUAUCCAACCUGCCCUUUACUCGGGGAUAGCCUUUCGAAAGAAAGAUUAAUACCCGAUAUAAAGGAUGGGGAUGCGUUCCAUUAGGUUGUUGGUGAGGUAACGGCUCACGAAGCCUUCGAUGGAUAGGGGUUCUGAGAGGCAGGCCCCCCAGAUCUGAACUAAGACACGGACCAAAAUCCUACGGGAGGCAGCAGUAAAGAAUAUUGGUCAAUGAGCGCUAGUGUGAACCAGCCACGUAGCGUGAAGGAUGAAGGCUUAUGGGUCGUAAACUACUUUUAUAUAAGAAUAUGUAUUAUAUGAAUAAGGAUCGGCUAACUCCGUGCCAGCAGCCGCGGUAAUUC
rnacentral:rRNA from 1 species